rnacentral:pre_miRNA from 1 species
UCUCCUGGGGAUCUCGUUUCAACCAGAUUCUGAUUCAGCACAUCUGAGGUGGGGCCUGCGAUUCUGCAUUUCUAGCAAGUUCUCUGGGUGAUGCCUC